rnacentral:rRNA from 1 species
UACGGGGGGAGCAAGCGUUGUUCGGAUUUACUGGGCGUAAAGGGCGCGUAGGCGGCCACCGCAAGUCGACUGUGAAAUCUCCGGGCUUAACCCGGAAAGGUCAGCCGAUACUGCGGGGCUAGAGUGCAGAAGGGGCAACUGGAAUUCUCGGUGUAGCGGUGAAAUGCGUAGAUAUCUGAAGGAACAUCAGUGGCGAAAGCGACUUCCUGGACCAAUACUGACGCUCAUGUGCGAAAGCGUGGGGAGCAAACAGG